rnacentral:snoRNA from 14 species
CUUCCUCAGCCUUACUCCAGGGUGGUUUUGCCUGUAAAGUGCCCUGGCAUUGCCUGAGGAUAGAUGAGAAAGCACAGAUCCCUCCCCAGGAAGAUUUGAACUUCUUUUGGGGCCUACAGUUUGAGCUGACAGU